rnacentral:rRNA from 1 species
GACGAACGCUGGCGGCAUGCCUAACACAUGCAAGUCGAACGGAGAUUCCUUCGGUAAUCUUAGUGGCGAACGGGUGAGUAACGCGUGGGCAACCUGCCCUCUAGAUGGGGACAACAUCCCGAAAGGGGUGCUAAUACCGAAUGUGACAGCAAUCUCGCAUGAGGAUGCUGUGAAAGAUGGCCUCUAUUUAUAAGCUAUCGCUAGAGGAUGGGCCUGCGUCUGAUUAGCUAGUUGGUGGGGUAACGGCCUACCAAGGCGAUGAUCAGUAGCCGGUCUGAGAGGAUGAACGGCCACAUUGGGACUGAGACACGGCCCAGACUCCUACGGGAGGCAGCAGUGGGGAAUCUUCCGCAAUGGGCGAAAGCCUGACGGAGCAAUGCCGCGUGAGUGAUGAAGGAAUUCGUUCCGUAAAACUCUUUUGUUUAUGACGAAUGUGCAGAUUGUAAAUAAUAAUCUGUAAGGACGGUAGUAAACGAAUAAGCCACGGCUAACUACGU